AUUGAACGCUGGCGGCAGGCUUAACACACGCAAGUCGAGCGGAGAGAGGUAGCUUGCUACUGAUCUUAGCGGCGGACGGGUGAGUAAUGCUUAGGAAUCUGCCUAUUAGUGGGGGACAACAUUUCGAAAGGAAUGCUAAUACCGCAUACGUCCUACGGGAGAAAGCAGGGGAUCUUCGGACCUUGCGCUAAUAGAUGAGCCUAAGUCGGAUUAGCUAGUUGGUGGGGUAAAGGCCUACCAAGGCGACGAUCUGUAGCGGGUCUGAGAGGAUGAUCCGCCACACUGGGACUGAGACACGGCCCAGACUCCUACGGGAGGCAGCAGUGGGGAAUAUUGGACAAUGGGCGCAAGCCUGAUCCAGCCAUGCCGCGUGUGUGAAGAAGGCCUUAUGGUUGUAAAGCACUUUAAGCGAGGAGGAGGCUACUUUAGAUAAUACCUAGAGAUAGUGGACGUUACUCGCAGAAUAAGCACCGGCUAACUCUGUGCCAGCCGCCGCUGUAAUAC
rnacentral:rRNA from 1 species